rnacentral:rRNA from 1 species
CAGUCGCCACGGUAAUACAGAGGGUGCGAGCGUUAAUCGGAUUUACUGGGCGUAAAGCGUGCGUAGGCGGCUUCUUAAGUCGGAUGUGAAAUCCCUGAGCUUAACUUAGGAAUUGCAUUCGAUACUGGGAAGCUAGAGUAUGGGAGAGGAUGGUAGAAUUCCAGGUGUAGCGGUGAAAUGCGUAGAGAUCUGGAGGAAUACCGAUGGCGAAGGCAGCCAUCUGGCCUAAUACUGACGCUGAGGUACGAAAGCAUGGGGAGCAAACAGGAUUAGAUACCCCAGUAUUCCCUGUCUCUUAUAC